AUUGAACGCUGGCGGCAUGCUUUACACAUGCAAGUCGAACGGUAACAGGCCUUCGGGUGCUGACGAGUGGCGAACGGGUGAGUAAUGCAUCGGAACGUGCCCAGAGGUGGGGGAUAACGCAGCGAAAGCUGUGCUAAUACCGCAUGUGAUCUGAGGAUGAAAGCGGGGGACCAGGCAGCAAUGUUUGGCCUCGCGCCUUUGGAGCGGCCGAUGUCCGAUUAGGUAGUUGGGGGGGUAAAGGCCUACCAAGCCGACGAUCUGUAGCUGGUCUGAGAGGACGACCAGGCACACUGGGACUGAGACACGGCCCAGACUCCUACGGGAGGCAGCAGUGGGGAAUUUUGGACAAUGGGCGCAAGCCUGAUCCAGCAAUGCCGCGGGCGGGAAGAAGGCCUUCGGGUUGUAAACCGCUUUUGUACGGAACGAAAAGGCUCUGGCUAAUACCUGGGGCUGAUGACGGUACCGUAAGAAUAAGCACCGGCUAACUACGUG
rnacentral:rRNA from 1 species